rnacentral:rRNA from 1 species
UACGUAGGGGGCAAGCGUUGUCCGGAAUUAUUGGGCGUAAAGCGCGCGCAGGCGGUUGUUUAAGUCUGGGGUUUAAGUUCGGGGCUCAACCCCGUAUCGCCCUGGAAACUGGGGAACUGGAGUGUAGGAGAGGAAAGUGGAAUUCCACGUGUAGCGGUGAAAUGCGUAGAGAUGUGGAGGAACACCAGUGGCGAAGGCGACUUUCUGGCCUAUAACUGACGCUGAGGCGCGAAAGCGUGGGGAGCAAACAGGAUUAGAUACCCUGGUAGUCCACGCCGUAAACGAUGCACGCUAGGUGUUGGGGGUUUCAAUACCCUCGGUGCCGAAGUUAACACAUUAAGCGUGCCGCCUGGGGAGUACGCUCGCAAGAGUGAA